rnacentral:rRNA from 1 species
UGGGGAAUAUUGCACAAUGGGGGAAACCCUGAUGCAGCGACGCCGCGUGAACGAAGAAGGUAUUCGUAUCGUAAAGUUCUGUCCUAUGGGAAGAUAAUGACAGUACCAUAGAAGAAAGCUCCGGCUAAAUACGUGCCAGCAGCCGCGGUAAUACGUAUGGAGCGAGCGUUGUCCGGAAUUAUUGGGCGUAAAGGGUACGCAGGCGGUUUAAUAAGUCGAAUGUUAAAGAUCGGGGCUCAACCCCGUAAAGCAUUGGAAACUGUUACACUUGAGUAGUGGAGAGGAAAGUGGAAUUCCUAGUGUAGUGGUGAAAUACGUAGAUAUUAGGAGGAAUACCAGUAGCGAAGGCGACUUUCUGGACACAAACUGACGCUGAGGUACGAAAGCGUGGGGAGCAAACAGG